rnacentral:SRP_RNA from 1 species
CCACACAGCCGGGGAGAUAGCGGUGCCCUGUAUCUGCAAUCCGCUUUAGCAGAGGUGAUAUCUUGCCUAGGGUAUCUGUUUGUAGGGCUGCCCAUAGUAAGUGGUGUUGACAUGAGGGUCCUUACGCAAUGAAAACUUGUGAACCUUGUCAGGACAGGAAUGUAGCAGCAAUAAACGAGAUCUUUCAUGUGCCGUAAGACAGCCGUCAUAGAGCUAACUGCUAUGGUAACGCUUAUGAACAGAAUUCGAAGCAAGAUGUGUGG